rnacentral:rRNA from 1 species
GACGAACGCUGGCGGCGCGCCUAACACAUGCAAGUCGAACGAGCGAGAGAGAGCUUGCUUUCUCGAGCGAGUGGCGAACGGGUGAGUAACGCGUGAGGAACCUGCCUCAAAGAGGGGGACAACAGUUGGAAACGACUGCUAGUACCGCAUAAGCCCACGGCUCGGCAUCGAGCAGGGGGAAAAGGAGCAAUCCGCUUUGAGAUGGCCUCGCGUCCGAUUAGCUAGUUGGUGGGGUAACGGCCCACCAAGGCGACGAUCGGUAGCCGGACUGAGAGGUUGAACGGCCACAUUGGGACUGAGACACGGCCCAGACUCCUACGGGAGGCAGCAGUGGGGAAUAUUGCACAAUGGGGGAAACCCUGAUGCAGCGACGCCGCGUGGAGGAAGAAGGUCUUCGGAUUGUAAACUCCUGUUGUUGGGGAAGAUAAUGACGGUACCAAACAAGGAAGUGACGGCUAACUACGUG